rnacentral:rRNA from 1 species
AGCUUCAGUAGCGUAUAUUAAAGUUGUUGCAGUUAAAAAGCUCGUAGUUGGAUUUCUGGUGUGAGGGAACGGUCCGACCUCUGGUGGGUACUUGCUUCCUCUCACGCCAUCCUUGAGUGGUGCGUUCUGGCAUUCAGUUGUCGGGACGUUAGCCGCUCAUCGUUUACUGUGAGAAAAUUAGAGUGUUCAAAGCAGGCUUAUGCCGUUGAAUAUAUUAGCAUGGAAUAAUAAGAUAGGACUUCGGUACUAUUUUGUUGGUUUGCGCACCGAUGUAAUGAUCAAUAGGGACAGUUGGGGGUAUUCGUAUUCAGUUGUCAGAGGUGAAAUUCUUAGAUUUACGGAAGACGAACUACUGCGAAAGCAUUUACCAAGGAUGUUUUCA